rnacentral:rRNA from 1 species
AAUGGGUCAGCGACUUAUAUUCUGUAGCAAGGUUAACCGAAUAGGGGAGCCGAAGGGAAACCGAGUCUUAACUGGGCGUUAAGUUGCAGGGUAUAGACCCGAAACCCGGUGAUCUAGCCAUGGGCAGGUUGAAGGUUGGGUAACACUAACUGGAGGACCGAACCGACUAAUGUUGAAAAAUUAGCGGAUGACUUGUGGCUGGGGGUGAAAGGCCAAUCAAACCGGGAGAUAGCUGGUUCUCCCCGAAAGCUAUUUAGGUAGCGCCUCGUGAAUUCAUCUCCGGGGGUAGAGCACUGUUUCGGCAAGGGGGUCAUCCCGACUUACCAACCCGAUGCAAACUGCGAAUACCGGAGAAUGUUAUCACGGGAGACACACGGCGGGUGCUAACGUCCGUCGUGAAGAGGGAAACAACCCAGACCGCCAGCUAAGGUCCCAAAGUCAUGGUUAAGUGGGAAACGAUGUGGGAAGGCCCAGACAGCCAGGAUGUUGGCUUAGAAGCAGCCAUCAUUUAAAGAAAGCGUAAUAGCUCACUGGUCGAGUCGGCCUGCGCGGAAGAUGUAACGGGGCUAAACCAUGCACCGAAGCUGCGGCAGCGACACUAUGUGUUGUUGGGUAGGGGAGCGUUCUGUAAGCCUGUGAAGGUGUACUGUGAGGUAUGCUGGAGGUAUCAGAAGUGCGAAUGCUGACAUAAGUAACGAUAAAGCGGGUGAAAAGCCCGCUCGCCGGAAGACCAAGGGUUCCUGUCCAACGUUAAUCGGGGCAGGGUGAGUCGACCCCUAAGGCGAGGCCGAAAGGCGUAGUCGAUGGGAAACAGGUUAAUAUUCCUGUACUUGGUGUUACUGCGAAGGGGGGACGGAGAAGGC